rnacentral:rRNA from 1 species
AACGAACGCUGGCGGCAGGCUUAACACAUGCAAGUCGAACGCAUCCUUCGGGGUGAGUGGCAGACGGGUGAGUAACGCGUGGGAACGUGCCCUUCAGUUCGGGAUAACCCAGGGAAACUUGGGCUAAUACCGGAUACGUGCGAGAGCAGAAAGAUUUAUCGCUGAAGGAUCGGCCCGCGUCUGAUUAGCUAGUUGGUGGGGUAAUGGCCCACCAAGGCGACGAUCAGUAGCUGGUCUGAGAGGCUGAUCAGCCACAGUGGGACUGUGACACGGCCCAAACUCCUACGGGCGGCAGCAGUGGGGAAUAUUGGACAAUGGGCGCAAGCCUGAUCCAGCCAUGCCGCGUGAGUGAUGAAGGCCUUAGGGUUGUAAAGCUCUUUCGUCCGGGACGAUAAUGACGGUACCGGAAGAAGAAGCCCCGGCUAACUUCGUGCCAGCAGCCGCAGUAA